rnacentral:misc_RNA from 1 species
GCAAACUUGGUCAUUUAGAGGAAGUAAAAGUCGUAACAAGGUUUCCGUAGGUGAACCUGCGGAAGGAUCAUUACCAAAACAUAGCCGUCCGGCCGCAAGGCUCAGACGCUGCAACCCUUUGUGAACCAAAAAAACCUUCAGCUUCGGCAGCAGGGGCCUUCGCGAUCGCGAGCCUCCCGUGAGUCUGCCGGCGGCACCCAUUUCAAAACCUGUCGUGAAACCGUGUCUGACAACCAAAUUUUCGAAUUAAAAUCAAAACUUUCAACAACGGAUCUCUUGGUUCCCGCAUCGAUGAAGAACGCAGC